GACGAACGCUGGCGGCGUGCUUAACACAUGCAAGUCGAACGGAAAGGCCCUGCUUUUGUGGGGUGCUCGAGUGGCGAACGGGUGAGUAACACGUGAGUAGCCUGCCCUUGACUUUGGGAUAACUUCAGGAAACUGGGGCUAAUACCGGAUAGGAGCUCCUGCUGCAUGGUGGGGGUUGGAAAGUUUCGGCGGUUGGGGAUGGACUCGCGGCUUAUCAGCUUGUUGGUGGGGUAGUGGCUUACCAAGGCUUUGACGGGUAGCCGGCCUGAGAGGGUGACCGGCCACAUUGGGACUGAGAUACGGCCCAGACUCCUACGGGAGGCAGCAGUGGGGAAUAUUGCACAAUGGGCGGAAGCCUGAUGCAGCAACGCCGCGUGCGGGAUGACGGCCUUCGGGUUGUAAACCGCCUUCGCCUGUGACGAAGCGUGAGUGACGGUAAUGGGUAAAGAAGCACCGGCUAACUACGUG
rnacentral:rRNA from 1 species